rnacentral:rRNA from 1 species
UGGUGGAGUGAUUUGUCUGCUUAAUUGCGAUAACGAACGAGACCUUAACCUGCUAAAUAGCCCAACUGGCUUUGGCUGGCUGCUGGCUUCUUAGAGGGACAUUCGGUUUAAACCGACGGAAGUUUGAGGCAAUAACA